rnacentral:tRNA from 4 species
GCGCCCAUAGUGAAACGGAUAUCACAACAGCCUCCGGAGCUGUAGAUUCAGGUUCGAGUCCUGAUGGGCGCA